AGAACGAACGCUGGCGGCAUGCCUAACACAUGCAAGUCGAACGCCUGUAGCAAUACAGGAGUGGCGCACGGGUGAGUAACGCGUGGGAACCUACCCUGGAGUGGGGGAUAACCGAGGGAAACUUCGGCUAAUACCUCAUACGACCUGAGGGUGAAAGAUUUAUCGCUCUAGGAGGGGCCCGCGUCGGAUUAGCUAGUUGGUGAGGUAACGGCCCACCAAGGCGAUGAUCCGUAGCUGGUCUGAGAGGAUGAUCAGCCACACUGGGACUGAGACACGGCCCAGACUCCUACGGGAGGCAGCAGUGGGGAAUAUUGGACAAUGGGGGCAACCCUGAUCCAGCAAUGCCGCGUGAGUGAUGAAGGCCUUAGGGUUGUAAAGCUCUUUCAGUAGGGACGAAUGUAGACGGUACCUGCAGAAGAAGCACCGGCCAACUACGUGCCAGCAGCCGC
rnacentral:rRNA from 1 species